rnacentral:misc_RNA from 1 species
UUUAAAGAAAUAUUUAUAUAUGGUUAAUGAAUAUGAUGAGCCAUGUGUAGACCGAGCCAGACUUCUACCAGUCAGUGUUGGAUCUUCAGCGUUGGGAAGUAUUGCCUUUGUCAGUUUUCUUCAUUAAACGUCAUACAUCAUGCCUAAAGGAAAGCAUAAGGGAGGCCGGCGCCAGUUCACCAACUUUGAGGCGAUGGAGGCACAGAAGAAGAAGGAGGAGAAGGAACGUCAGUGGAGAAAAGAGCAGGGGGAGGAGACAGACAGUGAUGAAGAAAAGGAGAAAUCAGGGAGUAGUUCCUCUUCUGAGGAAAGUAGUAGUGAAGAAGGAGAGGUAAAGGAGCUGAAGGCAAAGGGUGUUGGGGGUUUGAUAGAAUGUGAAAACCCCAACAGAGUUGCCAGUAAACCUAAAAAGGUGACCACCAUUAAUACUACUGCUACUGGUUCAGGUGGUGCUUCUAGUACUGCCAAACCUCAUCUAUCUCGACGUGAGAGGGAAGAGAUUGAGAAACAAAGGGCAACAGCUCAUUACCGAAAAUUGCAUGCAGAAGGCAAGACUGAUGAGGCUCGAGCUGAUCUUGCUCGUUUAGCGCUUAUUCGACAACAACGUGAAGAUGCUGCUAAAAAAAAGGAGGAUGAGAGGAAAGCCCGUGAGGCAGCAGCAACUGCGAAGAGAGAUCAAAUGGCUAAGGCGCUCAACAAGAAGAAAAGCUGAUCAUAUCCCACUAUUAGCUUCCACUGUAGUGUAGGCACUCGACAGCUGUAACAUCUCUUGUCAAGUGGCUUUGUGCAGGAAUCAGUAUUUCUGUCUUAUAUAGUAAUAAUUUCAAAGCCUAAUAUUUUACCCUCUUAUUACCCAUUUCCCCUGUCCUAAUAUUACAUGAAAUAACUGAUUUUUGUUCAGAGUCACUUUUCGAAGUUACAAAGGCAUUUGUUUCGAAGUUUGGGUUUCCCUAAAGUAUUUUACUUCAUGUAAGUGAAUGUAAAAUACAUAUCUUUUUUAAUGCCAAUACAGUACUUUUCAGAUACUGGUGGUAAUUUUUCCAUUUACUGUAUUGUAUAAGUGUUUCCUGUACUUAUACUGCUUUUUUGUUUCAUACAGUUUGGGAAAUGCUUUGGAAAAAUAUAACUACAGUGUCUGAGGUUAACAGAAAAUUAUCUUAUAUUAUUCAAGUUAUUCAAAUACAGUAUAUGAAAUAAAGUACAAUUUCCUUUAGUGACCAAUAUUAAUUUGGUAACAGACAAUAUAUAGUAUAAUUUAUAAAUUUGUGUUUUAACCAAUCGGACAUCCCGUAGCUUACAUACAGGGGUAUAUCUUCUUUUUUCAAUUAUUGUUAGUAUUACUGUGUUUGAUAGUUUUCAUUGGUAGAUUUUAAAGUUUAUUUCAGUGUGAUAUAUUGAUUUGGCAAUAAUCAACUUUGGUAAAAUAAAAUUAAAUGAAGUAUUUGUUCCCUUUUUUCCAUACAUAAUGUCUUGUACACUAUGUAUACAGUGAUGGCAUUGGAGGUAAUGUGUCAGUGGAUAUCUGAACACCUGGGAUAUUUCUAAAAUACUGUACAGUACUACAGUAUAUAAGAGGUACUGUAUAUGUGUUAAUCCUCAGCUGAGAAAUAAAAAUCAAUACAGGUUUUGUUACUACUUGUCUCAAAUCCCUAAGCUUGAUGGCAUGUAUAUGCUGUAUGUGCUCUUAAGGUUAAAUAAGAGCUGAUGCUUGAGAUUAGGGAAUGCCUUGGAUGUUGCAAUGCUUAUCAUCAAGAAGUCCAAUAGGGCUGUUGCCUUAAGUUAGUCCAAUUAAGGUAAUGACAUAUCUAGCCAAUAAACAAGUGCUGUAGACUCUUUUGCUAAAAAUUAUACUCCAAAGCAAGGAUUAUGAGGUCUUUAAUCAUUACGUAACAUGAAUACGUACUAGCAGAGGCUGAAUAUUUUAAUUUGGCUGUUGCUGAAUGUAUUUGUGUUCUUACUGCUGGCAUAAUCAUAAUAGGCUACAGCAUGAAUACCAAUAGCUGAGAGGUAUACUUUUAAGUGGAAAAUAAAGAGAAGAAGAAAGUGGAAUAGUAAUCAGGAAAUCAUUGAGCUAAAGUGUUUAUCCUACACCCAACUGAUCAGUCUAGAAAUGAAAAAGAAAAAAGUAAAAUUCAUUCCCCCCUCACAAAGACUCAUCCUGGAUACAGCAGUUUCUUUAUCAUUAGUAUUUUUUUUUAGUUUAAAUAAAGAAUUUUAUAACCUUCAAUUGUGUGAGAUAUUGUUCCCUUUGCCCUGUAGUGGAUUAUCUGAAGAUAACAUUAAUGUUGUAAUUGGUUGAAGAUGCAAAGUGUUAUUUUAUAAAUUUUCCAUCUUGUUAACAUCAUGCGGAUUGUUUGUAUUAAUUGUUGUAGCACAUCAUUGUAUUCUUCCUCCACUUAAAAAAGGUGUUGGGUGAAGGUUUUCAUGCCAUAAUGGCAGGUGUGUUAACACAAAGCAAGGAGUGAUUUGGUUGGCAACAUAGAUUUUGUUCUAAAGUCAAAAUCUUUCCUAUGUUUCUUCAUAAACCUCUCCGAGGCAGGAAAGGCUUCCAGUUAAGUUUAAAACAUGUAAUUGAUUAUAACUAAUUAAGAAUCCUUUACAAACAUAAAGCCAGUUUGAUCAACCAGGGUUAGAAAAAUUAAUUCAUAUAAUUCUUAGCAUUCUUAGUCUUCCCCCUGAUGUUCUUUUAUCACUACCAAAUCCAUGACCUUUUAACCUGUUGUACUUCCUCGAGAGUGUUUUCUUACUUUUAAUAGCCUGUAAUAAUCCUACAAGGUUAUAUGUUUGGAACUGUUAUAUCCAGCAAGAGUAUAAUUUUCUCACCUUUCACUUCAUAUUAAUCUUUCUCUUUCAAAUCAUGGCACAGCUUUUCUUUCUUUCAUAUUUUUGGCAAAAACUAGUAUUGAUAAAUAGUACCAAGGAAGUAACAUGAUUAGGAAUUUUUUCUUGUCAACCUGUUGAAUUAAAAAAAAAAAACAUGGCUGUCUCUUGUUUGGUCUACUGUGGCUGAAGUCUUUAUCAAUAGCUAUAUUGAGUAAAGAUGUUGGCUGAUAUGAUGGCAUAGUACACUUGAACAAAAGCAGCACCCACUGGGCUCACACUCAGUCAACUUCUUUGUUUUUGUUCCAUUAUUUUCCUUGGCAAAAAUUGUCCAGCUUGGGAUCUAGGCAAAACUGACAGGCAUCAGCUAUAAUUAAAUCAUUAAACUAUGCCAAGAAAUUUAGUUAAAUAUUCAGUACGGUACUUACAGGUUGAACUAGAUGAAAUAUACAAUAAUUACUCAUUCAGUAAUGUUGAUUUCUCUGAUGUUUUUAAGUGAUAUGAAUACAAUACUCUACACUACUGUACUGUACUGUAUAUGGUUAACAUAACGUAAAUAACAAGAGAUGAAGAGUCGGUUAUAAAGUUGAUGCUUUGCGAUUAAUUAAUAACUAUAAUAGAAGUUUAUCCACUGAGUUUCUGGAGUUAUUACACCACCUUCACAUACUGUAGUUGUACGUUUUUCUUUUUUUUUAUGUAAUAUUUUCAUCCUUAUCCUUUCCAACUUUAAUGUGUGAUAACCAGACAAGAAGUAAAUACUGUAUACUAGUACUGUACUGUACAGUAUAAAAUAAAACACUCAUAUCAGGUGAAAACAGAAAUGUCCUCAUUUGCACCAGAGUGAGUACAGUUUUUAGUGUUGGACUGAAAAUCAAUGUGAUUAAAAUGUAAGCACUGUUGAAUUCAGCAGUUGAAAGGAGAAAUUUUAAUUUUUUCACACAUUUUGUUGAUUGAAAGGAGUUGCCAUGGUUGCUGAUAAGUUUUGAAACAACCCAUAUGGAAAGUUUGAGGUUAAUAAAAAAUAAAUCUGUUUGAUGUUGACCUUUUGAUUCAUGUGAUUACAGUAUCAACUAAAUUUGUGUGUUGUUUGAUGAUGAUUAUCAUUAGUAAAUAAAUCUGAAGGUUUUUUGUGUAUUGUUACAUAUUAAAUUAUUUAUUAAACAUGCAAGCAUCUUUCAUGUUAGGUAUGUUAUGCAUAAAUUAAAGCCUUCAAUAAGAUACAGAAUGAUCCACCACUGUUAAUCUCAUUCCAUUCUUUAACUAAGAGGAUGAUACAUUUGCAUCAUGUAUCAAGCCUCUGAUUUAUUUUUUUCUCCUAUAGAGUGAUGCAAUGAAUCAAAUUUCAAUGCUACAUAAUAUUUCAAAACUUUACUUUGCUCACUAAGUUUAUUAAAUAAACCCCUGAUAUUAAAUGUGCAAAAUCAGUAAGCAAUACCUAAACUUUUAUUGAAUGUGUCCCAUGAAGAUAAAAUGCACUUCAAUCAUUGGUGCAUAAAUUUAUAAUAUCAGUACUGUACACCAUGGGUUGUGAUAAUGUUUGCUGUGUAUAAUUAGGUUUGACAAAUCGCUCCCUUAUAUACUGUAUGCUAGAGCUACUUGGAUGGCUGCUGUUUAGCAAAUCAAGCUUUAAAGAAUGUAAGAUGUGUUACAGCAUGUAUUUACAAUGGAGAAUUAAAACGACCAAAAACUGUUCCUUGACAAAUUCUCAAUUUAUCCCCUCUUAAGAUUUUAAUGCUUUUCAAAUAUUGAUUGAUUGAUAAACUCUAAAAGUACAUAAAGGAUUCAAAAUUAGCAAGUUGAUAUAAAUACUAUAGUACUGUACAUUAAUUAUCGGUAGCUCUUAUUCUACCUCAGUCAUACACUGUGCAAUAAUAACAUUGACAUUUUAGGGGCAUGUAAUCCUCUACACCUAUACUCUGUGUCAUGUGCCCCAGCUGACAGGGUCAUUUGUAGCCUCUCAUCUGGAAGCUUUUUAUGCCAGACUUACUCAGUGGAAUGUGUACCUAAACAACUUUUCAGAUACAGUAUUUCAUUUGUUAACAGUAUCCAUUUAGUGAUCUUGUUAUAUUUUACUGAACCAUGUAAUCUACUUCACUGUUGUACUCACUUAACAAAUUUAACAAGGGGUUUAUUUCAUGCUUGUUUAGUACUUAAUAUUUGUGUGUGUAGAGUAUUUGCUCAUCAAGCUAUAAUUAUAUUUUACCAUUGCUGUACUUAUACGUGUAUAUUAUUUCAAGUGGCCCCAUUGAAAUACAAUGUUUUAGUGUACUGUUUAUGUAGACCAAUGUAAUUGUAUCAAUAUCAAUCCCUGUAGAAAUUAAUCACUAAUCAAAUAUUCCUUAUGGUGCUAACUUACAAUUUCUCGUGGUAUGUAUUUUCCUGUACAAAUUAAUGCAGUUAAAUUAAUGGACGGAAUCAUUACCAUAAUUACUUUACCAUAACAUUCAGCACAUUGUUUCCACUGGUGUCAUCAGUGAGUAUACAGAAAGGAGAAUGUUAAAAUGUUUGCAUAACUGAGGGUGAUGGUAUAAUGUGAUUGCUGUAAAAUGAAAUAAAGUGUCAACCAUGA